rnacentral:tRNA from 1 species
GCCGGUGUGAUGGAAUUGGCAGACGUGAUGGACUCAAAAUCCAUUGGUGGCGACACCGUGCCGGUUCGAGUCCGGCCACCGGCACCA